CGGCGUGCCUAAUACAUGCAAGUCGAGCGGACUUACAAAAGCUUGCUUUUGUAAGUUAGCGGCGGACGGGUGAGUAACACGUGGGCAACCUGCCCUUGAGACUGGGAUAACUUCGGGAAACCGGAGCUAAUACCGGAUAAUAUAAGGAACCUCCUGGUUCCUUAUUGAAAGAUGGUUUCGGCUAUCACUUAAGGAUGGGCCCGCGGCGCAUUAGCUAGUUGGUGAGGUAACGGCUCACCAAGGCGACGAUGCGUAGCCGACCUGAGAGGGUGAUCGGCCACACUGGGACUGAGACACGGCCCAGACUCCUACGGGAGGCAGCAGUAGGGAAUCUUCCACAAUGGACGAAAGUCUGAUGGAGCAACGCCGCGUGAGUGAUGAAGGCCUUCGGGUCGUAAAGCUCUGUUGUUAGGGAAGAACAAGUGCGAGAGUAACUGCUCGCACCUUGACGGUACCUAACCAGAAAGCCACGGCUAACUACGUGCCAGCAGCCGCGGUAAUACGUAGGUGGCAAGCGUUAUCCGGAAUUAUUGGGCGUAAAGCGCGCGCAGGUGGUUUCUUAAGUCUGAUGUGAAAGCCCACGGCUCAACCGUGGAGGGUCAUUGGAAACUGGGGAACUUGAGUGCAGAAGAGGAAAGUGGAAUUCCAAGUGUAGCGGUGAAAUGCGUAGAGAUUUGGAGGAACACCAGUGGCGAAGGCGACUUUCUGGUCUGUAACUGACACUGAGGCGCGAAAGCGUGGGGAGCAAACAGGAUUAGAUACCCUGGUAGUCCACGCCGUAAACGAUGAGUGCUAAGUGUUAGAGGGUUUCCGCCCUUUAGUGCUGCAGCUAACGCAUUAAGC
rnacentral:rRNA from 2 species